rnacentral:lncRNA from 1 species
CUAACUGUUAUUAAAACCAAAUCCAUAUCUUGGCAACAGGAAUCCAUCGCUCAGUAACAGCUGGAAUGACAGUGUGCCCGACAGCUGGGCUGAGCUGUAUCUUGGCCAUGAUGCACAUCAAGGGGGAAGGUCAAGGACUUCAGACUAAGCCCUGGGGGCCUCCCCGCCAGGGCUGUCUAAGCCAGGAGUCCCCAGGGCACACAUAGUCUCCUGUCUGUAUCUUGGGUCUGGGAGCUGCUUCUAGCUCCUUCUCUUGUCUGGGAACUACCCUCAGUGUAGGCCUUUGAGGCAUUCAGGCUUUCCCUACUCCCCCUCUUUCCUCCAUGAGUCACUCCAGCUCUGGAGGAGUUGAAAACAGGAACAGACCCUAUGGUAGAGCCAGAGGGGAAACAACUACAGGCAAAGUUCAUCAGGGAUGUGGGGAGGCCAACUGGACUGCAGCUCUCCCCAGCAUCCUCUACCAUAAUCAACACAGAGAGCUACCAUCUGUGGUCUGGCUUCACAG